GUGAAAUUGUUGAAAGGGAAGCGCUUGCAGCCAGACGUGCCCGUAGUUGCUCAUCUGGGGUUUUCCCCAGUGCACUCUUCUAUGGGCAGGCCAGCAUCAGUUCGGGCGGUUGGAGAAAGACCUGUGUCACGUAGCUCUCUUCGGGGAGUGUUAUAGGGCAGGUGGAAUGCAACCAGCCUGAACUGAGGUCCGCGCAUCUGCUAGGAUGCUGGCGUAAUGGCUGUAAGCGGCCCGUCUUGAAACACGGACCAAGGAGUCUAACAUCUAUGCGAGUGUUUGGGUGUCAAGCCCGAGCGCGUAAUGAAAGUGAACGGAGGUGGGAACCCCUCGGGGCGCACCAUCGACCGAUCCUGAUGUCUUCGGAUGGAUUUGAGUAAGAGCAUAGCUGUUGGGACCCGAAAGAUGGUGAACUAUGCCUGAAUAGGGUGAAGCCAGAGGAAACUCUGGUGGAGGCUCGCAGCGGUUCUGACGUGCAAAUCGAUCGUCAAAUUUGGGCAUAGGGGCGAAAGACUAAUCGAACUACCUAGUAGCUGGUUCCUGCCGAAGUUUCCCUCAGGAUAGCAGUAACGUUUUCAGUUUUAUGAGGUAAAGCGAAUGAUUAGAGGCCUGGGGGUUGAAACAACCUUCACCUAUUCUCAAACUUUAAAUAUGUAAGAAGUCCUUGUUUCUUAAUUGAACGUGGACAUUUGAAUGUAUCGUUACUAGUGGGCCAUUUUUGGUAAGCAGAACUGGCGAUGCGGGAUGAACCGAACGCGGGGUUAAGGUGCCA
rnacentral:rRNA from 1 species